GAACAGGAGCCACUCCGAAAGGUGUCCUUAAAGUAAUGUCCGUGCCAGGAUUAACCAUAUACCAUGUGAAGAGUCACUUGCAGAAAUAUCGACUGGCAAAAUACAUCCCCGAGUCUUCAACAGAUGGCUCCAAGGCUGAAAAGAAAGAACCUGGUGAGCUGAUUUCUAGCUUGGAUAACUCUUC